rnacentral:sRNA from 2 species
CGCGUCUGACUGGAAUUCUAAAGCUUGCAUCGGUGGUCCGCAUGACGCGGAAAUGCCUCAUGCCUGACGUGCCUGCCCUGUUUAAUUCAGCAGAUUGCU